rnacentral:rRNA from 1 species
GACGAACGCUGGCGGCGUGCUUAACACAUGCAAGUCGAACGAUGAACUGGAGCUUGCUCCAGGGAUUAGUGGCGAACGGGUGAGUAACACGUGAGUAACCUGCCCUUGACUCUGGGAUAAGCGUUGGAAACGACGUCUAAUACCGGAUAUGACUUCUACCGGCAUCGGUUGGGAGUGGAAAGAAUUUCGGUCAAGGAUGGACUCGCGGCCUAUCAGGUUGUUGGUGAGGUAACGGCUCACCAAGCCGACGACGGGUAGCCGGCCUGAGAGGGAGACCGGCCACACUGGGACUGAGACACGGCCCAGACUCCUACGGGAGGCAGCAGUGGGGAAUAUUGCACAAUGGGCGAAAGCCUGAUGCAGCAACGCCGCGUGAGGGACGACGGCCUUCGGGUUGUAAACCUCUUUUAGUAGGGAAGAAGCGAAAGUGACGGUACCUGCAGAAAAAGCACCGGCUAACUACGUGCCAGCAGCCGCCGUAACAC